rnacentral:lncRNA from 1 species
UAUAUUUUUUUUCAGGCUCGAUUUGAUCUACGUCCACCUUCACAUAAUUUUUAAAAGUGGUGUUAGCUGGAAUUCCAAUCUUCAAUGGUUUUGCAACAGUGGGCAUUUCCCAUCCCUUGGGGACACGUUUUAGGUACCCUGGCCAAAUCACUGGACCAUCCAAAACCUUCGUGGUGUUUCUACCGCAAUUUUUGUCUCCACCUUCUCUGUUGAGAGGGUUGUCCAAGUCCUGCGUCCAACAGUCAAGCUCCUUGUAGUUCGUUCUAACAACGUUUAUAAUCCUGAACGGCAACGAAUUUGAAUUUGAUAGAUCACCCCCUUCAAAAAUAAUAUUGCCACUUAAACCACUGAAGUUGCUUGAUAAUAUAUUUUUUAACAACAUUUUUGGAGUAUUAGUAUCAUCACUAGCUAAUCUCUCUAGGGCCCGUGUGAUGACAGCAAUGCUAUCAUAUGCUCGUAGUGCAUGAAUUCCUGGCUGGGCGUUGUCUUCCUCUGGGUAUUCAGAUUUAAAAUUUUUCUGAAACUGGGCAGAGAAUUCUUGGAAGGGCCUAUUGGAUUUGGAUUGGGAAUAGUAGGACUUGAUUCCUAGAGCCCCUUCCAUAUAGGAGAUAACGGAGGUGUCCAUGGAAUCCAGGAAGCUUGAAAUGCUAUCUGUAAUUAUCCAGGCUGAGUCUUUCCCCAUAAAAUCCAUCCGCCUUGCUUCUUGGAACAAUUGGGUAGCCAUUGGUAAAGACGAUUGAAGAACAAUGAAAACCCUGGAUUGUGUGCUCAGAAGCUUCAAGAGCUCUUGAUGGACAGCUCCUCUUGGAUCAGAUAGAGAUGAUAUGGGAGGAAGAGGCAAAUGGUACUCAAUCUCCGAGCCAACUCUUUGAAGAGCUUCAGAUAAAAUAGUUAACAUCUCAGCGUUCCCACCGUACGCAUCAUCUUCAUAGAUUGCGAUGACUCUUCGCCAGUGAUAGGAGUGAACGAUAGCUGCAAUGCACCUUAUUUGUUCAGAAACAUUGGUGCCCAUUUGUAUCAGGGUGGACCUUCCAAGCUGCCUCGAUGGCCGGACACUCGCGGCUGCCGCCAAUGAAAGAACUGGUACUUGAGCUUGGUUUCCGAUUUCAGCAGCUAAAGCUGCUUGCUGCCAUGUAUCCAUGCCCACAAUCACUUGCACUUUCUUCUCUUUAAUCAGUUCUUCAGCUGUAAUUAAAUGUUAUGAGCCCCAUCAAUUGUAUUCCAUUUUUGUUCUGCCUAUUUCAUUCAUAUUCAGUACAUAACAGUGUUUUUCAAUACAUGGAAGCAAUAAAAAUCCAUUUCCACCUAUUUCAAUUUCUUUUCUUUUUCUAAAUGAUGAGUGAUGCUUAAAACAAGUUUUUCAAGUUAUCCUAAAUUUAUUUUUUAGAGGAAAACUUAAGAAUGAAAAAAAAAAAGGAAAAGAAAAAGGAAAAACAUUAGAAUUUAAUAUUUUUUUAUUUUACUAUGAUUGCGAAAUGACCAAUAUAAAGACAUCCAUCUCUCUAUAUCUUCCUACUUUUAUUUUUUAAAAUUUAAAAAAAAAUUAAUAUAAAAAAUAAAAAUAAUUAUUUUUACUUCUCUAUAUCCAUUCAAAGUUUAACCCUAAUUCUUCCUUUGUCCUUUCCUCUGCCUCGUCCCUUCUUUUCCUUCCUAAUGGGUCAUGAAUGAUACAAAGGAAGAGAAUAAAAGGGAAACAAAAUUGAGGUGGGUGUUAAAGAAGAUGAGGAUAAUUUUAUCCUUUCAUAUUUAAUUUUUAAUUUAAAAUAAAUAAAUAAAAUAAAAAAUAGAAGAUAUAUAAGUGACGUAGAGAUAGUUUGGGUGGCUGAUGUUAUAACCACUCGUGUAUCAUUCUAGAGGAUUAAUGUUGAAAAUAAUAGGAGAUUAGACAGCCGUAGAAGGAAUCAAGGAAGAGAUGACCAACCUGUUAAGGCUGCCCCAUAGAGUUCUCCGGUGAAGUUCCGGGAGAUAAGAGAGAGCUUAUGAUUCUUGGAAUUGUUAUUGAACUUAUCCACAGCUAUCUUGAUGGCGGUUAUUUCCUCUUUACCUUUACGAGAAUUAGCAUCAAUGAUUGCCCCAAUGAUGGUGGAGUUGUCAUCUACUGCUGUGCCGGUGAUGUAUCCAAGAUGGCAGACAAUUAAAAGAAUGGAGGUAAGUGAAAAGUAGAUGAAACAUGGUGUUGGAGAAUUCAGUGGGGAGGGCAUUUCUGCUCUUAGCAACCAGCAAGCAAUUAGUGCCUUAAAGGAGAUUCUUCUAAGCUUAAAUAAAUAUAAAUUCACAAGUAGAAUAUUCAUUUCGAAUCCCCAGUAUGAAGUUUCCUUCUUACUUCGUAAGUCAAUUCUUGCUGGGGAAUUCCCUUCCAUUACUUCCAUUCUCCUUGUACGCGGUAUUCAAAGCCAACCGCAUGGAUUUAUGGCCAAGGACAAAGAAGAUUAAACAAUGUGUCGUUUUCAUUCAAGGAUUUAGUGGUGUUGGAGGUAAGCGAAAAAUAGAAGAAACAUGGUGUCGGAGGAUUUAGUGGGAAGGGCAUUUCGGCUUUUAGCAACCAGCAUGAAAGUGCCUCGACUUUGAAUCCACGAGUUGAAUUCUUUAUUUUGAAUCCCCAAUACGAAGUUCCCUGCUUGCUUCGUAUAUGAAUGCAUGCUGUGUUGAAAUCACUGAUUCACUGAAGGAUAGACACAAAGAAUAUUCAAACAUGAGACUACAUGCAUUUAUGGUCAAGGAAAUCACUGAAUUAACAUCCUUCAUUCCUUUAAUACUUUUGGUUUUAUCUACGAGAGAGAGAGAAUCUCGAUGGUGAUCGAACAAAAAGCGUGGAUUUUUUUAUAAUUAUUUUUUAAAUAAAAAAAUUUAAAAAUAUUUUUAGAAUGUGUUUUUGAGCUGAGAAAUUUUUUUUUUCAUUUUACUAAUAAGAAAAUAUUUUUAUAAAACGUUUCCAAAUAGAUUCUAAAUGUCAAGUUUUAGAUUUUGGUAAGAAUUGUGGUUAGAUGAUGCUGGAUUGAUCAUCAUGAUAAUACCACUUAAAAAAAAUUAUCAAUAUCAUCACAUGAUUAUUUCUCAUCUUAUACUAUUUAUAUAAUUCAACAAGCCUAUAUUUUGACUUAAUGAAGCUUAUAAAUUUAUAAUAUCUUUCAAAAGGGAGAAACAAUCUGGUGCUUAUGCCCCGCAUGCUGAGAUAUACAACUCCAUUCAUGCUCUGCCUUGCUAAUUGAUCAUCAAUUGGUGGAAUAUUUCAUUAACUAAGAAAGUCUUGAAUAUUUCAAUUUUUUCUAAUCGAUCUCUAAUCAAUGGAUGUCAUCAUUAACUAAUAGUUGUCAUAUGUUUCCACAAACAUUAGAGAUAAAACCGAAAAAAAAUCAUUUUUCUUAAUUUUUAUGAUAAAGGGGUAUUUUUAGAAGUUGACAAAUGCGUUAAUAUGAUAAGAAUAAACCUUGGAAAAUUAUUCAAAUUUGUCAAACUAAUUGUUCAAGGCUCUAGAAGAAAAAAUGAGAACAUUCUAAUUCCAAAUACUUUGAAUGUGUUCAAUUUUCAAAGUAUUGAUAAAAUUUACAAUGACUUGAUUGUGUCAUAUUUGACUUGGUCAUGGUCAUACAAGAUUAAUAAAAUAGUUUUUCUGCAAUUCAACACUAACUUCAUUCCAAACAUCAACUCCAUUCCAAAUUAAUUGGUAUGUCUCAUUUAUUUUGACUAAUUCACACUUUCAUUCCAAACAUCAACGCCAUUCCAACUUAAUUGGUAUGUCUCAUUUAUUUUGACUAAUUCACACUAACUUCAUUCCAAACAUCAACACCAUUCCAACUUAAUUGGUAUGUCUCAUUUAUUUUGACUCAUUCAUGAUCAACUCUCAAAAUGAUUGUAUUAUGACUCCAAUAUAUAAAAAUAAAUAAAUAAAAUAAAAAUUAAAAUUAAAUAAGGAGAAUUGUUGUUCUCAUAAAUUCCUUACCUUAAUGAAAAAAAAAAAAAAAGGAAUUGAAAAUUUUAAAUCUCUAUUUUUAGAAGAAGAUCGAUUGACCUUUCAAAGUAUCCUGAGCUAUAAGUUCUUCAUUUUCCUCUCAUUCUCUAUUUAGAGAUUGCAUCUUCUCCCUUAUAAGUAUUGGCCACAAUGUUGACUUGACUAAGGUGAAUGGCUUCUUGCAAAUGUUUGUUGUGAAAGAGUACUUCUAGAAAAAAGUUGACAAAUACAUUGAUAAGAUGAUAAGAAACCUAUGCUUGAGAAUCACUAAACAAAAGUGGGUUAGAGAAUCUAAAAAGUUGAUUGAAACUAAUUAAUUAAACGAAAGCAUUGAAAUGGUGGUAUAUACAAACAAAGUUAUCUUUACUUUAGCAAUAAAUUAAGAAAUUUUAUGCUAAAUAAUAUGAAUUUAAGACUUUUGUUUUAAUGAAAAAAAAAUCAUUGAUCUUAAAAUUUUCAUUAAAUAUUGAAAUAAUGAUAAAUAAUAUGAUCUUCAAUAUAUAUAUAUAAAGUAUAACAAAAAUGCCAAAUACUUUUUUCAUAAAAUAAAAGAAUAUACAAGACAAAUUUCCUUUUUAACUGAACAAAUAAUGAUUUACUUCCUAUAAUUUGAUGACAUUCAUGAAUUUGUCCCUCUUGAGCUAAUCUCCAAAUGUGAAUAGAAUUCUUCUCAUUAGAAUAAUAACAAUUUUAAAGUCACCUUGAUUCCAAGACCGAUAAAUUCAUAAUUUUUCUUGCUUGAUUAGCAUCUCCAAAAAUCAUGCAUUCCAUCUUAACCAUUAUUGUAUCACUAAAAUAUAUGUAAAUUGUCAUUUGAAUGUGCUUACAAGUCUCUAAAAUAAAUUAAUUAAAAUUUAACGUAAAAAUAAAUUAAUAAGAGGAUCUAUCAAAUCCAUUAAUGCCCAAAAACUCUAAAACUUCUUUUUAAAAUACAUAAGAUUAGCUAAGGAUAAAUAUUGGAAACUAAUAGAAUAUUGGUGUUUAGUAAUUGGAGCCAAAAUAUGUGCCCCAAUGACACAUAAACACUAUUAUUUAUGUAACAUAAAAGGCUAGAAUCACCCAACUUAACUCAAUUUGAUGCUAAGAUCCUAGUUAUGGAUCUAACUUAUAUUUUGAACUUAAUUCCAGGUGUAAGAAAUGAAAAAAAUGCUAAGUGCAAAAGCCAUUUUUUCAACCAAGGUAGAGGGAAAGGUUAAAAAAAAUGCAGACUCAAGACUUAUGGAGCAUGAGAAGACCAUAAAAAUAAGAGAAUCGCAAGCAUGAAAGAUGAGCAACUAAUGUUACGGAGAGAAUUAGAGAGCAAGCAACCAUGAAAAAAGAAGGUUUGAAACAAAUGCAAUCGAGCUUAAAAUGGAAUUUGAAACUCAAACCUAGUAAUAACACAUACCCUGAAUUUAAAGGGAAUUUUGGAGCAACUUUCAUAAUCUUUUUGAGUGAUUCCACAUAUGAUUUUGAAUUUGAAGAAGUCAAGAAUCCAACUCUUCAAAUAACUCAUGAUUUGGAGUUGAAAUGAAGAAGAUGUGAGCAAUUAAAAAGAAUUGUGCAAAGAGAAACCAAAGAAGUAUCAAUUUCACAAGAUGUGCAAAAUGGAAUAGAGUUAAAUUUUAUAAGAGCUAAGAAACCUAUGGGAAUUUCUUUCGCAUUAACAUGCAAAUAUUGACACAACCAUGCCAAAACCACUAGAAUUGUGUUGAAGUGUUGCCAAACCAUUUCCAUUUCACAUGAUCAUGCAAAAUUGGUAAUCCUCAUGAGAAAUUAAAGAGUUUUAUUGUUACACGUCUCUUUCAGGGUUAGACUAUAUGUAUUUGCUAUGAUUAAAGGGGAGAAAAAUGGAGAGAGAAAGGAAUUGAACUUUUUUUUUUUCAAUUCUUUAAUAAAUCUUUAGUUUUUUUUUUCUCUCUUUUCCAUCUUUCUAUUUUAUUUUAUUGGCAACCAAACAUGGGUUGUGAGGAAAAAUCCUCCAUCAUGUUUGGAUAAUUUAAUAGAUCCAGAGAUGUUAAUAGGAAUGUGAAGAAUCCAAAUGAGUAGUAAGAAAUGGUAAUGAAUUAAUUGGGUUUCUUUAUGUUUUCAUAUUUGAAUUAGUAGGAUUAAAUCAUCUCUAUUUGUUUACCCUAGAUAAGGUAUAAAGGAUUCUUACCAAGGUAUUAGUGAUUGUUGGAAAGAUCUUAAUCACUAGUUAACUCAAUUUGAUCCUAUUGUUAGCAAAUCUAAAAGUCGAAUCUACAAUAUGGAUAUGGGCUCUUGAUUGAAUAGAAUUGAAAAAUAAAAUCAACCCUUAUAUUUAAUUGGUUUGAGAGAUUUGUGCUUAAAAAAAUAAAGAUCUAAAUUUCAGAUCCAAUAAUGAUCAUGGGAUUCAAUUUGGUCUCAAAUUGACUUUAAUCCUAUAACCUAGAUUUUACAAGACUCACUUUUUAGGGAUUCAAUGUUGGAUUGUUCAACUCUUAAGGACAUUUUCUUUUAUUUUAUCAAUUUCAUUAAAUACUUUAAGAAAAUUUUAUUUAUAUUUAUUUAAAUUAGGUUUUAUUACCUUUAGAAAAUAAUUCAUCAUUCCAACCUAAAAUUAAUUAAACACAUUAGUGUUGAUCCUAGAGGGUGGCAACUUGAAAUACUACAAAGUCAUGGUAACUCCAUCUCUGGUUUUUUUUUUUUUUUUUUUUGCCAAAGUUAUCACGUAUUUAGGCUUUUAGUAUUUUAAUUAGAAAAGAGAUUUGUGGUCAAUUAGCAAUAAUAUAAUAUGUGAUGGCAAGAAAUAUGUAUUUUAAAAAAUACACUCAUUACUAAUAUAAAGUAAAUAUUUGAUUUAAUUAAAUGUCAAUAAUGUUAAGAUAGAGUUCUUAAAAUCAUGACAUGAGGCAAUGAUAAAUGGAUUUUAUUAUUUAUAUUAUGAUUCUAGUUUCCCAAUUUCUCUAUCCUAUUCAUGCAUUACACUCACUAAGCUUUUAGGAUUGGUAUCUCUUGCAUUAUACAUAACUUCGGCGCAUUAUACAUAGCUCUUAUAAAAUUUAACUCUAUUCCAUUUCGCACAUCUUGUGAAAUUGAUACUUCUUUGGUUUCUCUUUGCACAAUUCUCUUCAAUUGCUCACAUCUUCUUCAUUUCAACUCCAAAUCAUGAGCUAUUUGAAGAGUUGGAUUCUUUACUUCUUCAAAUUCAAAAUCAUAUGUGGAAUCACUCAAAAAGAUUAUGAAAGUUGCUCCAAAAUUCCCUUUGAGAUAGUAUGUCCACUUGGGUGAUCCUAAAGACACGUGUUCAAGCAAAUUAUGCACACAGUAGUUAAUUCCUUAAUUCGAAACUUGACAUGAGUUCUUUGUGAGUUAGUGUACAUGUCAGUUGAUCACAAAAUAGGAGGAUUUAUAACUUAAUGACUUUAGAAUUGUUCUUCAUCAUAAAGAAAUCACUUGUGAACAUCUGAAUCUUUGGUAAGCACUCUAAUCUCACUCUUCUAGACCCUAAGAAUGUAUUGAAUGCAUAUUUUUCCACUAUAUGUAGGUUCUAGUCGCUUUAAGGAAGUUUCAUGCACCUAACAAGGUCUAGGGCUAGGGGACAAAGUUAUCUGAAGUUUCCUACACUAAAAUCAUUAAUGACUUUGAUCUACUGGUGAGACACUAAGGUUGUUAUAUAUUCCUAAUAGAUUGGUCACUAUUAAUGGAAAUUAGUGACAACAUGUAUAUUCAAGAGAGGCACCACAAUAUCUCAUUGGUUUGAGACAGUGUGUCCUCUUAGGUGAUCCUAAUGACAUGUGAUUAGGAAAUAUGUGGUUAUAAUAAUUCCUUAAUUAGAAUUUGACAUAUACUCUUAGAGAGUUAGAAUAUGUUAGUUGAUCACAUAAUAAAAGGAUAUGAGACUCAAAGAUUGCAGAGGUAAUUUUGAGAGGUUGAUAACAUAUACUUUGUUAAAUUACGGAUACUAGUUCCUAGAAAGUCUACAAACAAUGGAUAGUAGGUCAUAAACUUGAGUUCUUGUAGUGUAAUUGACUCUUUAUAGUAGGAUGUUGAGUUAACUUUAAAACUUAGAUUAUGAGGGAGCUAAUAUAUUUCUAUAUGUUUUAGUGAUCUCCGCUCAAACUUAUAUUUUUUUAUGGCACAUUUAUUGAGGGGUAUUUAGGUUAUUUAUUCAUAUGUGUGAAUAACAGUAUUUUAGUUAAUACUCAAGAUUGCACAAGAGCUUGUAAAUGGUCUCUCUAGACUAGGGUAAUAGAUUAAUUAGAGACUGAUAUGACCAAUUAAUUAAUUAAGACCCAAGUAGAUUGGAUUAGGGGUUUAUAACUAUAUAAAUCCACAAAGAAGCCUAUAUAAACCCUCUUAGAGGUUUAAGCCUUCAUUUUUGACAUUACAAUCUUCCUAUUCACUUCAAAGAGAAGAAAUGCUUAGUCACCACCCCUCUAUGAUACUUCCACUACCUUCAGUGAUAAGAGUAAAGGAAAGAGAGUUAUCAGGUGGAAGAUUCCUAGGCUUGUGAGAUCCAAGUUAUUCUUUAUCGACAAGAAACAAUUGAGGAACAUUCAAGUAUAAAGUAAAACACUUUAAACCUCUAGAUCUACAUUUUUUUUUUUUUUAUGUUUGUAUUCUUCUACUUGUUAGAUCUGGAGAGCUUUAAGAAGAUUUUUCAUGAUUUUUCGAUCCAAGGCUAAGAAUGGAGUAAUCUAUGGAUUCCCACAAAUAAUUUAUACAAAUUACAUUCUAAUGGUUCUAUCUUAUAUUAAAAUAAAGGUCAUUAGUUUUUGUGAAAUUAAGGCUAGUCUUAUUAGGAAAAUCAACCAAGAGGGGGGUGAAUUAGGUUUUUGAAAAACUUUUCUAAUCACUACAAAUUUAAUAAUAAUAAUAAGGCAUAAAUAUAAAAAAAUUGAGUUAGAGAGAGCAAAUGCAAAUUUUAUAGUGGUUCGACACCCCUUGCCUACAUCCACUCUUCUCAAGCUCCAAUCGAUUGAGGGUUCCACUAUCCUUGAAACUUCAACUAAGCUUCCAAUGUCUUUACACUUGGAUUUUGGCUCUAAGGGGCACUUACACAAUCCCUUUAAGAAUUUACCAACUUGAAGCUGUCAAUGCUCACAAAACUCACAUAAACAACAAGGAAGUAAACUCUCAACCUAGCUCAAUAAAUGCUCAAAUAAAAAAGAAGGUUAGGAUGAAUGACAAAGGGUGCACUAAAGAGUAUGCAAGUGAAGAAUCAAUGCACCAAAGAAAGAAAAUAAGAGCUUUAAAUGAAAAACAAGUAAUUAGACAAUUGAUUGCAUGUGUUCCCUUACUCAUAAAUGAAGUAAAGUUUUCUAUUUAUAGGUUUCUAGUCUUGAGAACCAAAAAUAACAUAAAAAUGCCUCAUCCGGUCGAGCUCCGAUUCAAUCGAUUGACUAGUCGUUGGGCAUUAAAUGCAUAGUUAGUGACCGUUAGGCCUCAACCGAACCUCAAUUGGGAACACCUAGCCCUCAACCAGGAAAGGUCUCACCCUCAACCAAGAAUGAAACCUUUCUAGAAGAGAAAGAAAAAAAAAUUGCAUCUCUCGAUCGGAAUUAGAUGGAAUAUAGAAAAUCUUAUGUCCUAAGCCUCUAAAUUUGUUCAUUAUGUAUUUCUUUUUAUAUUAAUUUUGUUCUUAUUAAUUAUUUAUAUAUAUUAUUAUUUUGUGCUUAAAGUGUCUAUAAAUAAUUAAAAUCAAUAACUUUGAAAAGAUGAAAGAGUAAAAAUUUGAAAUUAAAAAAUCUUUCAUAUACAUAUAUUUAAAAAAAAAAAAAGUCAAAGGUAUUAUGGAGAAAGGAAAAGAUAAAAAAUAAAUAAAAAAUAAAAAAUCGUGAGGCAUGAUUGGUUACUACAAUUCAUAGUUUUCUUUUUUAUAUAUAUAAAAAAAAUUAAACAAAAAUAGACAACCAUGAUGAGCUUUGCAUCUUUGAUUUGUCGUGUCAAAGUUAAAAAAUAAAAUAAAAAAUGAGGUAGUUAAUUGAAAGUAAAGGUGGUUUAGAAAGUAGUUUUGGAAUUUUGAUAAUAUCAUGCAUGUUUGUAGGAUUAUUUUCUCCAAAAUGUAUGUGUUUUGAAAGUCAAAAGUCAAAAUUUUCAACUUUUUUUAGGUGUUGCAUGAUUAUAUGAUUCUCAUCCAUGGUUUCAACAUACUUCUUGGAAUUGGAGCUUUCUAGGAAUUUUGAUUUAGGGUUUCUUAAUUAAUAAGGGUAAAUUUCUAGGGAAUUAGAGCUUUCUAAAAGGUCACCAAUUUUAUGAAUUAGCAAAGACAACUUAGAAGAGGAUAAUUUUACUUCUUGAAUGACAUUUUUUUUCCUAUUGCUCCUUAUAAAUAUAAGAAAAACAAAAUAAAACAUGAUCCAAUGGUUUACUUAUAUAAUUUGUGAAAAAAGAAUGAGAGAUACUUAAAUCAAGAAAACCACAACAAAACCCUAAACUUUAACCGUUUGAUUCCCUUAUCGUCGAUAUUUUCUCCAUAAACAACUACAUGGAAAAGCUUAACUCUUUUUCACAAGGCACACUAAUCUCUUUCUCUCUAUAGAUCUACUUCUUUUCUUCUUCUUUUUUCAUGAGAAGUCCCUUUGUAGUGGUUUUGAUUUCUAGGGUAUCAUUUCGAGUAUUUAAGAAAUUCAAAGAUUUCAAUUUUUAGGUUUUCAUUUUAGAUCCUUCUAUUUUUUCACACCCAAAGAAAACAGGGAACUCUCCAAAAAAACAUUGGUAUUCAAUCUUACACCUCUUUUUUGAGGGCAUGACAAAUGGGAUCUAAAUAACAUAUUGGGCUAUUGGGUUUUGGUUUGUUUUGGAAGUCCUUUUUAAAUUGAAUUUGUUUUAUAUUUCCAUCACCUUCUCCCUUUGUCUCCACCAUUUUUAUUACCACACUCUCUUCUAUUACUAUGAUUUUUAUUUUUCAAUGUUGCUUGUUAGGUUUUAAUUCUAGGUUUUUGUUUUAUAUUUCAAAGGCUUAUAGCUAGCUCCAAGUGUACAAAUAAUAACAUCAUUUUGAUUCUCUUAUUAUUAUUAUUUUUUAUUCAACAUGGAUUAGGACAAAAUCCUUAAAAGCAUAACAUGAUGUAAAAAUAAAUGAUUUUUUAUUAUUAUUUAUAAUAUGUUUCCAUUUUCCCAUUUAUAUAUCUAUCAUUUUUUCAUACUUCAUAUUUUAUGAGUAUUGAAGCCUAGCAUCACUUACAUUAUAAAUAAUUUGGAUGUAUUACAAAUUGUAUAGAAGAUCGAAGUCAUAGGUUUCUUGUAAGUUAAUUAUUCAUUAACAGUUGAUUAAGCAAUGUAUUUAAGGUUAUAGUGUACUACCUUCUAAUUGGAUGAAUGACUUGCUUUAGUUUUUAGGAUAAGGUUUUCAUGGUGAAUGCAUUAGUAUAAAUGGUUAUACAAUAGACAAAAUCUAUAAUGAGUCAUAAUAUUGAUUAUUAAGUAGUCAUGAUUUCACCAAAUUACUAUAUGGUAUAUAUUCUUAACUUUAAGAGAAUAUUAAGGUAGUGUUGGGAUCUUUAAUAACUUUGACCUAUUUGUGAAACCUUAAAGUAAACAUAUAUUCCUUAUAUCAAGGAUCUUAUAACAUUUAUUAAAAAAAACCUAAUUAUUUAUUCUAAGUAAAAUAGUAGUACAUAAACUCAACAGCUAGUCUCUAUUGAGUGUAUAUGGUUGCAGUAGGGGGAGAAGUCUCAAGAGACUCCGGCACAUCAGAAGGGCUCACCCUUGAGUUCAUAGUCGCAGUAGGUGGAGAGGCCUCAAGAGGCUCCGGGCAUCAGAAGGGCUCACUGUUGACCACCUUGCAGAGAUCCAUUCAUCUCCAGUGGAACGAGAAGACAAAUUUGACAGUCUUUCAUUAGGAAUCUCAGUUUGUCCAUUAUGAAAGAAAUGUACUAAUUGAACAGUCUUCAUCCAGACACUUUCAUCACUUCUGGAUGGCUGUUUACGAUUAAAAUCGAUGAGCAGGCGAAGGAAGAACAGUACAAUGUAGAGGGUGGAAGUGGCGCCACAUAAAAGGUAGAGAGCCCAGAAGUUCCCGAGGCUCAGUUCAUCAUUUUCGGUGGCUGAACACUCGGCAGAACAAGGAAACCACUUUUCUUCUAAUGCUUUUAGAAUCCUCUUCUCAGAUAUGGUUAGGAUGGCUUCAGAAACAUCAGCAGCUAAUGGAGAGCCUUUCUGAAAGGCCUGCAUGGAGAUCAACAAGGAUGACAUGACCAAAGCUAAUUUCAUUGUGACAAUGCUAAAAGAAUUCCAUAUGCUAUCCUACUCCACUGAGCAAUGGUUCAACUAAUUCAAUUCCUACCACCAGUCAAGGGAUGGGACAAUUUUCUUUGGGGGAAAAGGGCAUCAACAAAUCAGUUUGGGCCACUUCAUACAUGUGUUAAGAGAAGUUGCAGAAAAUUUUAGAGAAUGCAAAUGGGGAAGAGUUCCAGUUACUACUCACAAAGACUAAUCCUCCAAAUCUGUUGAGGGGUUGGCCGGCAGUGUAAUUCUUGCAGAACUGGCUGGUGAAAACUUUUGCAUAAGGAAGUUGAAGAAAGGCAGCUGACAUGUUCCCACUCUGGAAUUCGCCAGGAUAUUGGUAUUGGUUGCUAAUAUUCUUGAUAUCAGCUCCUUCGAAUUUAAACACGUUCUCUAAGUAUUCCCUCGUAAAUGCAGCACCAUCACAACCAACCACAGACCUAGUAGCUUUUAGCCAUUCGAUAUCCAUCACAUUGGGUUCAAGUCGUCGGACAGUGAGCAUUGAAGAGAGACUAGCAGUGUAGCUCGAGGUUAAAACGAAGACUACAAACAGCCACACCACUAUCACUACUCGAGUAAUAUUGCUACGAAUUGUCUCCCCUGGAAAAUGAAACAAUGGCUAGCUUUCUGAGUUAUUUAAUUAUUGAGCAACCAAAAUCUCUUCCAUUUUUAAUAUUACUACUUACUAUGAGCAAAGAAAAGAGAAGAGAAGGUGAACCAAAGAGCAGUCCCGAGCUGACUCUUCCAUGGGCCUCUGAAUGCUGGAUUAUUGGAUUGGUACGAUCCAGUACCCAAACUAUGAACAUGGUGUAGAUCAAGAGGGCACCUGUGACUACCCACAUUUCCAUGGUGAAAGGCUUCAGGAACAUCCAUGCCUUGUGAGGUUCUUUAGGCCUUGCUUGUAUUAUCACCAAUCCCGACUCGGCAUAUGGCAGUGUGAAUUCCACUUUUUUUGAACGGGUGGCAAGUAUAGUCACAUCGCCAACCACAGCAUCAAAGGUCUUCCAUGUAUUUGAUAGGCAUAAAAUCUCUCAGAGACAAAUGAUUGAAACAAAUAUGAAGUAUGAUUCAGGAAUUCUGAGCGUUAAUCUUCUGUACUAUGUUCACUGCUGUCUCAUGGGGAUAAAGUCAAAACUUAAUAUACCAGAAAAGUCUACCGGGCAGGAUUUCUUUGGGAGGCAUAAAAAUUGAGAAGUUUCGAGGGUUUGAAAAACCUAAUUAUGGAAAUAUAUAUUUCAUAUAAAAUCUUUCAUAAACUCCGGCGCUCUUGUAGAAAAGCAGGCAAGUGUUAACUAGAGAGGUUCAGUUUGACUUUGAUUAUCAUUUAUCAAGCGAUUGUUUCAAUUGUUUUCCUUUAAACAAACGACAUGUUAAUUUGGUCAGCAAGCAAGACAUGCUUUUUGAGAAAUUAGAAAAGGGGGAAGGUUUACUGAUGAAAUCACAACACAAACACCUGCUGAAGUUACAAAUAAAUCUUGGUCGCUAAUGUGAAGUUGAGAUUUAAUUCUGGUGUGGGGAAUAUCAUGAUUAUUGAGAAAGAUUUAAAGAGCUAAGGCUAGAGAUAGGAGUAAAUACCUUGUUAUAAACACAAUAUUCAACCAGCUCGUCAUAUGUGCCAAAAAAUGGAUGGAACUUGUAGGGUAGAGAGUAAUUUUGCUCCAGAAUUUUUACCACCUCUCGGAAAAUAUCAAUACAGAAACCAGUAUAUUUUUUUUCAGGCUCGAUUUGAGCUUCGCCCACCUCCACAAAAUUUUUAAAAGUGCCGUUAGCUGGAAUUCCAAUCUUCAAUGGUUUUGGAUCAGUGGGCAUUUCCCAUCCCUUGGGGACACGUUUUAGGUACCCUGGCCAAAUCACUGGACCCUCCAAAAUCCUUGUGGUGUUUCUACCGCUAUUUUUGUCUCCACCUUCUCUGCUGAAAGGGUUGUCCAAGUCCUGUGUCCAAAAGUCAAGAUCCUUGUAGCCUUUUCCAACAAAGUUUAUAAUCCUGAAUGGCAACGAAUUUGAAUUUGAAAAAUUAAU